CACCAGGCACCACCAAUUCCCCUUCAGCAACUACUGUUUUGCUUAUUAGAUGGAUCUUCAAAGAUUAGCUUCCCCUACCUGUAAAUUAAAAGAGAAAAAGAAAUGGAGCAUCUUUUUGUCAGAGAGGUAAAACCAUGAAGUUUCAGAAGAAAGUAUUGUCAGCAUCUUGGAGUAUUUGGGAAGCUGCCAUUCUGAACAGACUCUUCAGUCAAGGCUAAGACGGAACGCUGGAGAAGCAGGAGACAUCGAUUGUGCUGGGCUGGGAGAGCAGGAGGAGGAGGAGACAAAUUCUAUUCCACUCAGUAAGAAAUAUGGGAACUUGAUAGUUUAACUGUUAAAGACACGCCGAGGUUUUAUUAAAGAACUCCCCCGCCCCCACCCUUCAUUUAGAAAAAUCUCUGCCUAUUUCCCAUAUUUCAUUUGC